UACUAAGGGGGCUAGCGUUGUUCGGAAUUACUGGGCGUAAAGCGCGCGCAGGCGGCUAUCCAAGUCAGUGGUGAAAGCCCGGAGCUCAACUCCGGAACUGCCAUUGAAACUGUUUAGCUUGAGGAUGAGAGAGGUGAGUGGAAUUCCCAGUGUAGAGGUGAAAUUCGUAGAUAUUGGGAAGAACACCGGUGGCGAAGGCGGCUCACUGGCUCAUUACUGACGCUCAGGCGCGAUAGCGUGGGGAUCAAACAGG
rnacentral:rRNA from 1 species